AUUAAUUUAAUGGCUGCAGUAUUUUAACUGUACAAAGGUAGCAUAAUAAUUAGUUCCUUAAUUAGGGACUGGAAUGAAGGAUUGAACGAGAUAAAAAUUGUCUCUUUUUAAAUUUUAUAAUUUUAUUUUUAAGUUAAAAAGCUUAAAUAUUAUUAAAAGACGAGAAGACCCUAUAGAGUUUUAUAAUUAUAAUAUUUGUAAAUUUUAGUAAUAAAAUUUUAUUUGUAUAGUAAUUAUUUGAUUGGGGUGAUUUUAAAAUUUAAAAAACUUUAAUAUAUUUUACAUUAAUAUAUGAUUAAUUGAUCCAUAAAUUAUGAUUAAAAGAUUAAAUUACCUUAGGGAUAACAGCGUAAUUUUUUUAAAGAGUUCUAAUCGAAAAAAAAGAUUGCGACCUCGAUGUUGGAUUAAAAUAAAUUUUUGGUGUAGAAGCUGAAAUAUUAGGUCUGUUCGACCUUUAAAAUUUUACAUGAUCUGAGUUUAAAUCGGCGUGAGCCAGGUUGGUUUCUAUCUUUAAUUAAAUAAAAUAUUUUAGUACGAAAGGACCAUAUAUUUAUAAAGUUUAUUUAUUUAUGAUUAAUAUUA
rnacentral:rRNA from 1 species